rnacentral:tmRNA from 1 species
GGGGAUGACUGGCUUUGACAACGAGAUGGAUAGGUCUGUAAGCAUGUCGAGCAUGGUGAGAUGGCUCGUAAAUAUCCAAUUCACAUUUUUUAAACGGCGAGUCUAACUACGCUUUAGCUGCCUAAUCUAAGAUUAGUCAGCUUUUGCUCUGCGGAUAGAAGAGAGUUAAUCGCUUUUUUCCCACCGAGCAUCAUAAAAAGGAUUAACUAGUCAAUAAGUAUGCCUUGACUUAACGGCGAAAUUAAGAGGAUAAGGUUUGGUUUUGGGAAUGUGGUCUUCCAGGUCAAACUCGAAAAUAAAUUGAUCAAUAAACAUGUAGAAAGCUUUCAUGUUCCUUGUUUGGACCAGGGUUCGAUUCCCUGCAUCUCCACUU